AUCACCUUCGGGUGGUGAGUAGAGCGGCGAACGGGUGAGUAACACGUGAGUAACGUGCCCUUCAGUUGGGGAUAACCAUUCGAAAGGAUGGCUAAUACCGAAUGAGACCACAACGCCUUCGGGUGAAGAGGUCAAAGCUUUAUGCGCUGAAGGAUCGGCUCGCGGCCCAUUAGGUAGUUGGUGAGGUAACGGCUCACCAAGCCCGAGAUGGGUAACUGGUCUGAGAGGAUGGCCAGUCACACUGGGACUGAGACACGGCCCAGACUCCUACGGGAGGCAGCAGUGGGGAAUCUUGCGCAAUGGAGGAAACUCUGACGCAGCAACGCCGCGUGUGUGAUGAAGGCCCGUGGGUCGUAAAGCACUGUCAGGAGGGAAGAAUUUUGACGGUACCUCCAAAGGAAGCACCGGCUAACUUAGUGCCAGCAGCCGCGGUAAUACUAAGGGUGCAGGCGUUGUUCGGAAUCAUUGGGCGUAAAGCGCGCGCAGGUGGCUUAUCAAGUCUGAUGUGAAAGCCCAGGGCUCAACCCUGGAACUGCAUUGGAAACUGGUAAGCUUGAGUUCAAGAGGGGUUGGUGGAAUUCCUGGUGUAGGGGUGAAAUCCGUAGAGAUCAGGAGGAACACCGGUGGCGAAGGCGACCAACUGGAUUGAU
rnacentral:rRNA from 1 species